GAAGUAGCUCAGUUUGGUAGAGCACCUGGUUUGGGACCAGGGGGUCGCAGGUUCGAAUCCUGUCUUCC
rnacentral:tRNA from 2 species